rnacentral:rRNA from 1 species
AGUGAACGCUGGCGGUAGGCCUAACACAUGCAAGUCGAACGGCAGCACAGUAAGAGCUUGCUCUUACGGGUGGCGAGUGGCGGACGGGUGAGGAAUACAUCGGAAUCUACUUUUUCGUGGGGGAUAACGUAGGGAAACUUACGCUAAUACCGCAUACGACCUACGGGUGAAAGCAGGGGAUCUUCGGACCUUGCGCGAUUGAAUGAGCCGAUGUCGGAUUAGCUAGUUGGCGGGGUAAAGGCCCACCAAGGCGACGAUCCGUAGCUGGUCUGAGAGGAUGAUCAGCCACACUGGAACUGGGACACGGUCCAGACUCCUACGGGAGGCAGCAGUGGGGAAUAUUAGACAAUGGGCGCAAGCCUGAUCCAGCCAUACCGCGUGGGUGAAGGAGGCCUUCGGGUUGUAAAGCCCUUUUGUUGGGAAAGAAAAGCAGCAGGUUAAUACCCCGCUGUUCUGACGGUACCCAAAGAAUAAGCACCGGCUAACUUCGUG